UGUAAGCGUAUACCAAAGUUGUUGCAGUUAAAAAGCUCGUAGUUGGAUUUCGGAUGGGAUUUGCCGGUCCGUCGUUACGAUGUGCACUGGCCAGUCCUAUCUUGUUGUCGGGGACUAGCUCCUUGGAUUCACUUCCUGGGACUAGGAGCUGACGAGGUUACUUUGAGUAAAUUAGAGUGUUCAAAGCAAGCCUACGCUCUGAAUACAUUAGCAUGGAAUAACACGAUAGGACUCUGGCUUAUCUUGUUGGUCUGUGAGACCAGAGUAAUGAUUAAGAGGGACAGUCGGGGACAUUCGUAUUUCAUUGUCAGAGGUGAAAUUCUUGGAUUUAUGAAAGACGAACUUCUGCGAAAGCAUUUGUCAAGGAUGUUUUCAUUAA
rnacentral:rRNA from 1 species